GACGAACGCUGGCGGCGUGCCUAAUACAUGCAAGUCGAGCGGCCUUGACAGAGCUUGCUCUGUUCAAGUUAGCGGCGGACGGGUGAGUAACACGUGGGCAACAUGCCCUGCAGAUUGGGAUAACACCGGGAAACCGGGGCUAAUACCGAAUAACAUUGGAAAACUAAUGGAUUCCUUUUAAAAGGCGGCUUCGUCUGUCAUUGCAGUAGGGGCAUGCGGUGCAUUAGCUAGUUGGUGGGGUAACGGCUCACCAAGGCGACGAUGCGUAGCCGACCUGAGAGGGUGAGCGGCCACACUGGGACUGAGACACGGCCCAGACUCCUACGGGAGGCAGCAGUAGGGAAUCUUCCGCAAUGGACGAAAGUCUGACGGGGCAACGCCGCGUGAGUGAAGAAGGUUUUCGGAUCGUAAAACUCUGUUGUCAGGGAAGAACAAGUACGGUAGUAACUGCCCGUACCUUGACGGUACCUGGCCAGAAAGCCACGGCUAACUACGUGCCAGCCGCCGCCGUAAAAC
rnacentral:rRNA from 1 species